rnacentral:rRNA from 1 species
ACGGGAGGCAGCAGUAGGGAAUAUUGCACAAUGGGGGGAACCCUGAUGCAGCAACGCCACGUGUGGGAAGACGCAUUUCGGUGUGUAAACCACUGUCGUGAGGGAAUAAGGCUACUUUCCGGAGUAGUUGAAUGUACCUUGAAAGGAAGCACCGGCAAACUUCGUGCCAGCAGCCGCGGUAAUACGAGGGGUGCAAGCGUUGUUCGGAAUCACUGGGCGUAAAGGGAGCGCAGGCGGAGAUGCAAGCGGACUGUACAAUACCGGGGCCCAACCCCGGACCUGCAGUCCGGACUGCACCUCUUGGAUAGUUCAGGGGCAAGCGGAAUUCCUGGUGUAGCGGUGGAAUGCGUAGAGAUCAGGAAGAACACCGAUGGCGAAGGCAGCCUGCUGGGGACUAAUCGACGCUCAUGCUCGAAAGUGCGGGUAGCAAACAGGAUUAGAUACCCUGGUA